UGUAGAGGAGGAGUUCUGGCUGGCACUGGGCUCAGACACUAAUUUCAGGUAGCUGUGACUCAGGGACGAAGGGGCAAGGUCUGGGAUCUGGCAAUCCGGCAGCGCUGGGCAGGUGGGUGGGGCAGUUCUCCGCAACUCCCAGAGGCAGCCACUCGUUCAAGCCACCUUGGGAUCAGGGGCGCCUCCCCUUAAGUUCCCCAGGUUACUCUGCUGCCCACUCUGUCCCGCUGUGACCGGUAGCGACCACGGGAGUCGUAGGGGGAGAGGGGUGGCCGACAACCCAGGAAACCUAGAAAUGCUCAGAGUUCUGGCGGAGUCAGGGUUUGGGGAAGGCGUGUCUGGCCCAACGUGGCCUUCCCUUCCCGCUCCUGCCGUUAACGGUCCUGGGGCUCUGCCGCAGCCCCUGUCACCCUGUGACCUGCACUGGCCGUGGGGGUCGUAGGAAAGACUCAGGGGACACAGGAGCCCUAGGAAUGUUCAAUUGGAUUUCCAGAGCUUAUGUUACCGAACGAGUGGGUUCACCUCCGGGCAAGUUAAUUCCGGCUCUCCACCAGAGGUAGUUGUUUCACAAAGUAAGCAGGAGGAGCUGGAAGCUUUUUGUUCAACAACCUGCAAAGCCCAGGAGCCCAUUUCCUGUUCACAGAUCUCAUUUCCAUAUGCCUGGACUUCCAGCACAUGUUGUGGAAGAGGAGCAAGGAAAGUAACAGCUUCCUGAGUCCAUUUCCAGCCGUAUGUUUCCCAGCUCAAGGCAACCCUGUGCCUGCCUCCCGGCAACUUCUUUGGAAAUCCACGACUGUCCCUUCUGAAAAUUUCUCUGCAGCACAGCAGGGGGCUGUGAGGUGAGAGGGUGGAAGAAGCAGUGGCAUAAAUCAUGUCACGAGCACGUGCCCCUGAGCUCCAACAAUCCCUUAAUUAUUUUCUCUACUUGCUUACUUACAAAAGACCUAGAAAUUGACCAAUUUUGGGGAAACAAUGGCUCUAGCAUCUGACCAAAUCACAGGCACUCCAUGGUGUCUCCCUCCCCAGACUCCGACAGCACAGAGGCUUCAGCAGCCUCCUCUCUUGCCUCCCAGAGGCUCUCAGACACCCCUGAUGGCCAUAAAUUGCCCGGGACAUUCUGGUGCAUGAAAGUUUUCUCAGUCUGGUGCUAAACACAUUUAGAGCAGCCACUGCUGGCGACAGACGCAGGCUUUCUGGAAAUGGAAGCUCUCACGGACCCCGAGCUGAUGACCCAGUGCAGACAGCUUUCCGCUUUCCCUUGGGUUGUGAAAGGAGCACCCAUCGGUCUUGCUUCACCACACAGGCCUCCUCAUUGCAAAGAUAUUGGUACCCACAGGAUAGAGGCAAAAAUGGGACCUCCAGUGUCCCCCACCUGCAGGAGGAAGUGUGUUCCCCUGUCCUCUGAGUGAUGCGAUCGUCUUGGAGGAAUCACCCCUUUUCUAGACACACUGGACACUUGGGGAGUUCCUUGGGAUCACAUGAGUGACCAGGAGAGUUCAUAUACUUUAUGGACCGUGUGCCACCAAUGGAGUCCACUGGAGAGAUGCUGUCUUCUGUCUCCAGAUCCAACAGGCCACCCGUGAAAGAAGACAGCACCCACGCAUCAGCUCAGUGAGUCAGAUUCUGCCAUCAUGCCAGAGCUACAGGAUGCCCUGGCCAACAGUCACAUCUAUAUAGAUCCUGUGGCCAUUGCCAAUGAUCUUACAAUCUGGUCCCACCAAUAGCUACAAGAACUCCUUAUCCAAGGUGGCCCCCUUUGGGAUAAACACUUUUAGGAAUAUCUUGCCUCACGAUUACCCAAGUAUAAAUCAUUGUUACUCUUAAUUUUUUGCAUAUUAAACCUCAAUCUGCAAAGGCUCAUUUCAAUGUUGAGAGUGAUAAAUUGAGUCAAAUUUCUGAGACUCAUACUGACACCUCAAAUCUUAUGGUAUUAACUGUGGCCCUGUGGGCCCGUGUAAUAUGAACUCACUGAGGGGCCUCUGUCCCAAAUGUCAAGGCAGAAUGCAAAAGAAUUCCUUCCUCCUCUGUCAUGGCUAAUUUAGUGACUGACCAAUGCACCUGAUAUGAAAACACAUGCCUCUGGUAAUACAGGCAAUGCAAUUUAUUUCCAGGAUGGGGAAGGGGUCCCUACAGCUGAUGGCAAAUAGAAUUUAUAGGGCCCCUCACCCUCUCUGCUGGGUUUCCUGCUAUGAUUGGACCAUGUUAGAUACUCAUAUAAACAAAUUACUUACUUAUCCUAUCAGUCAUGUCUCUGCUGAAGCCAAAAUGCAGGACUUCCCACGAUAUUAUGAUGUGAUCAACUCAUUUCUCCAAAUAUACAACACUGGGCUCUUCAAAAAGGCAUUCAGUGGAACUUUUACUGCUUUCAGAGCCCCAGGCUACAGCCCUCAUAGAAGCCAGAAUGGCCUACUUAGACAAAACUUGCCACCUUCUCAAUGGGUCUUCCUGCUGUUCAAGACAUAGUUUGAUUCAAUCCCCAGCAUUUAGGGCCCAUUUCUUUGUUCUGAUCAUGAGGUUUGCUGGCACCUUAUAAGUAGAGGCCUUUCUAUACCAGACAUUCCUGUCAAAAUAGUCACUCUCACAGGUCAUUCGUUUAUUGUAAUCGUGCCCACUGCCCACCACUAUUAUAUCCAACUCCUGGGUCUUCCUCCUAACAUCACCUGUGCUCUGUACCCCGGAUGUCAAUAUUUCAUUUUGGGGCAUCCACCUUCAAAAUCCCUUCUGGCCCAUCUCAACACACAUGUGCUAUUUUCCUAUCAGUUGUACUCACAUUCUCAUUGUGGUUGGUCACAUGCACUGACCUGGGCACAUAUGAUGUAAUUCAACAAACUCACAUCAUUAAUGCCAAUCAAGAAAUGUUUAAAACACUCAAAACCCAUGUACUUGACAGCUGGUAUUUCAUAAUGUUUCUAGGAAGGAAAACUUCCUGGCAGCUGUGGUCCUGAUGACCAACUGGCUUUGGACUGUCUAUUGGCCAGCUAGGGAAAGUACACAGGAGAGCUGCUUGUGGCAUGUGGGUAGAUGACCUUGGCAAGGUGCCACCAAUAACCCCGCAGUGAGACAAACAAUUAAAAAUCAACAG